rnacentral:misc_RNA from 1 species
GAUGAAGAACGUAGCGAAAUGCGAUAAGUAAUGUGAAUUGCAGAAUUCAGUGAAUCAUCGAAUCUUUGAACGCACAUUGCGCCCGCCAGUAUUCUGGCGGGCAUGCCUGUUCGAGCGUCAUUUCCACCAUCAGGCCCCCGGGCCUGUGUUGGGGACCUGCGGCUGCCCGCAGGCCCCGAAAUUCAGUGGCGGUCGCGCCGUAGCAACCGAGCGUAGUAACUAAAACGUCUCGCUCUGGCUCGCUGGGCGCGCUCCGGCCGUAAAACACCCCCCCUUUUCGCUAAGGUUGACCUCGGAUCAGGUAGGAAUACCCGCUGAACUUAAGCAUAUCAAUAAGCGGAGGA